ACGGCCAUAAACACCGGUUCUCGUACGAUACCGAAGUUAGGCAACGUCUAGCUUGGUCAGUACUUAGAUGGGUGACUGCUUAGAAAUACCAGGUGCUGCAAG